CAGGUUCUACGGGGGAGCAGUCAAAGACGGAAGGGGUUCUUUGCAUAAUAAAGUUUGAGUUCACAGGAGUCCACCAAGAGUCACUGCCGGAGUUGGCCCAGCUGGUGCACGGUCAAGCCCAGGGCAAGCAGCAAACAUGGAGGAGCUGUCCUGGAGCCCUGUACAAACCAAUACACAACAGCAAGGGCCAGGAAUGUCAGGGACUUCAUUGUUCGGGCUGUCCCCCCUGAAAGUAAAUGACGUAAGACUGGACGAGGUGACUGGCUUCUAUCCCUGCCGCAGUUGUGCAGCAUGUAAGGAUUCCUGUAACAAAGCCCUCAAUCGGACUCUGAUGAGCAGCCCGGUAGCUGUCUGAGAUAGUCCCAAGCCUACUCAAUGCUGAUUGCAGCCAAGCUCUUGCCUCUGGGAACCCCAGGCGCAGAAAAAGACCCUGUGCACGCACUGGUCAGUAUACAAUAUUGUUUACUACAAUUGUCAUUAAAGUUUAGUUGGUUAUGCUACACAAGGAAAGACAGCAUUCUCAUUCAUGACCUCAGUUUUUUUUUAAGCAUCCAUAAAGAGAUGUAUGGACGGAAGUAAAGCUAACAAAGAUGCACGAGAAAUGGCUGAAGGCAGAGGAGGAGAAACGGAGGAGGCAUGAUAAAUGAGGAGGUGGAAUGCAAGUUGUGAGAAAAGUGGUGGUUGUAUGACGACAACAACAAAUUGUAACAGAUGAUGGCUCGUCACAUAGAGAUGAUGGAACAACAGAUGAUUGCCGUUAUGAACAUACACCGGCCCCUCUUCCAUGAGUAGUGCUGCAUUGCUGCUUAAUGGUCCUGAACCUAUGGGCAGCACUACAUCACACGGCUUCAGACAACCGUCAGAAGUAGUCCCGCCACAAAAUGUAUAGGUGUAUUUCAACUUCAGAACUUUUUACUUAUUUCCUCCGCUUUGUAUUAGUUUAUAGUGCUUUGCAUUGAUUUUACAUUAAAGUUUGACUCUUUAAAUCAGUUUUAUUUUGGAAUAAUUUGCCUUUUUAUCAGUUUGAUCGAAAAGGUAUGCAUAUAUUACACAUGUAGUUUUAUGUACAGCUUUGGGAAUGUAGUCAUACAUUUUCAUGUUGAACAAUUAUUAUUAAUCUUUUAAAUGUGAUGAAAAUUCCUGAGGAUUUUUUUGCAGGUACAUUUUGAAACUUUCUAGAUUUUUUUUUAAUGUUAAUGUCAUGGACUGUCAGGCCUGCAUUCAUAACUCAAUCUAUGCAUUUGAGAGUGAUUACAUUUCUCAAGCCCAAUCCCAAAGCUUUAUAGCAACAAUGUGGCUGGGCUGCCAUUUGGCUUAAACUAUUAUAGCGUGUGGUUUUCAAAUGCUACAAUGCAACGGCUUUCACAUCACAUUGUUUAAGGUAAAUCAUCCUUUAACAUAUGCAUUUAAUUAACUCAAAUGACAAGAAUUCUAGGUGAGGAAAUGCAGUGGUAGCUUCUUUUUCCUUUGUCUCAAUCAGUGGCGACACGUCAUUCAGAGCAACAACAAAAUAAUAUAUAUAAUUUUUGCCUGUUUUGCAUGUCAUUUUGGCACUAAUACGUGUCCCAUAUCAGUUUGCAAACAAUGUAAAACAAAAGAAUCAUUGAGUUAAUAAAGCCGCAUACAAACAUGGUCGCUUUUUUUGCUUUCUUGAGUAAGGCAAUCCCGAAAUGCAGGUGUUUCAGCCUAGCUCAGAGCCUUUUGUGGUGGUGUGGCAGCCAGCGGAAAAUACGGAGCGUAGGGGUUGGCAACGUUCUCUAGUUGCGCCGUGAUUGGCUCAGGGUUCUGUCACUCAUGGGGACACUACGUCACCGCAAAAUGUAUGGGCAGAGCUAUAAAAUUCAAGCCCCUUGGGUGCUGC